rnacentral:tRNA from 2 species
AGUGGUGAGAGCGAGCGACUCAUAAUCGCCAGGUCGCUGGUUCAAAUCCAGCAAGGGCCACCA